rnacentral:rRNA from 1 species
GGUGAACGCUGGCGGCGUGCCUAAGACAUGCAAGUCGAGCGGGGCAGGUUUAUACCUGUUCAGCGGCGGACGGGUGAGUAACGCGUGGGUGACCUACCCGGAAGAGGCGGACAACCUGGGGAAACCCAGGCUAAUCCGCCAUGUGGUCCUGUCCUGUGGGCCAGGACUAAAGGGUGGAUAGCUCGCCUCCGGAUGGGCCGGCGUCCCAUCAGCUAGUUGGUGGGGUAAAGGCCCACCAAGGCGACGACGGGUAGCCGGUCUGAGAGGAUGGCCGGCCACAGGGGCACUGAACCACGAGCCGAGGUCCUAGGGGAGGCAGCAGUUAGAAAUCUUCCGCAAUGGACGGAAGUCUGAGGGAGCGACGACGCUUGGUGGAGGAAGCAAUGCGGGGUGUAAACUCCUGAACUGGGGACGAAAGCCCUGUGUAGGGGGAUGACGGUACCAAGGUAAUAGCGCCGGCCAACUCCGUG